UGGGAACAGACACAAACCCCACCCCAAACCCUCGGCGAAAGAAAGGGCUGGGGCCGGUCUCCGCGCCCCAGCUCGCUAGGGCCCCCCGCGUCCCCCUGCCAGCUCGGCUUCGGAGGAGUCUUCUAUGAUCGUGCCCGCCCAGCUCGUCCCCGGACCCCGUCGAGGAGCCAGCUGGCGACCGCAGUGCCUUUUCUCUUCCCGCCCAGAGUCCACCCGGCGCGGGCAGCGCCAGUUACCGGCACUUCCGACCGCGGACGGGGUUCCCGGGACGAACAGGUGGCCCCGCAGAGGAGCGCGCGGCAGUCGCACUCACUCACCCAGAAGAUGAAAUUAAAUCCGAAGAGCAGAGGAGGAAAAUGGAGUCCCAGAGAGACGAAUGAUCAAGCCAUACGCCAAGAGCAGACUUGGGAAUCCUGUUGCUGAACUCAGCUGAGGUCAGAAACCUCAGUGAAGCUCCAUCCCUUUGAGAUGAUGAGGUGACACUUGAGUCGUCCGGUCGCAUUGAAAGGGCGGGCCUACGCCGGCCAACUCCAUCUUGUUCUGUGUCCUUCACCUUGACCACGCCUCCUCCCCUUGAGUAACCACCCCCCCCAACAGGACUCGGACCGUCCCUAGGCCCCAGUAAAACCUUUGUCCUUUUGAUACUCGCUCUCCCUGGUAUUUCACCGCUGCGUUGGUGCAAGUAGGGGAUUGAGCUCGAGCUAGCUCGAAUAAAGGCUCUUUUGCUUUUACAUCGGA